GACGAACGCUGGCGGCGUGCCUAACACAUGCAAGUCCACGAGAAAGCGGUAGCAAUACUGCCGGUAAAGUGGCGAACGGGUGAGUAACACGUAGGUAACUUGCCCUUGGGACUGGAAUAACCUCGAGAAAUCGGGGCUAAUACCGGAUAAUGCAGCGGACCCGCAUGGGUAUGUUGUUAAAGUGGUCUUGGCUUGCCAAGUUCACACCUAAGGAUGGACCUGCGUCCCAUUAGCUAGNGGUGAGGUAACGGCUCACCAAGGCGACGAUGGGUAGCCGGCCUGAGAGGGUGUCCGGCCACACUGGGACUGAGAUACGGGCCCAGACUCCUACGGGAGGCAGCAGUGAGGAAUAUUGGUCAAUGGCCGAAAGGCUGAACCAGCAACGCCGCGUGA
rnacentral:rRNA from 1 species